GCCCCAGCUGGGGCUGUUCGGAGAUUCUCAGACCACUGCAUCCCAAUGCAAUUCUGGGACUUUCCGGGCUGAAAUGCCUGCAGAGACUGUUCUGGGAAGAGAAGGGCUCAGCCUGUCCAAAGCCAGAGGCAGGGAAAAGUCCUCGUCUUUGAUGCGUGCUGAUUCCAAGAAGUAGCUUUGGCCUAUCCUCGUGCAGAAGCUGUCUCUGCUGGGGCCCUGGUGGGUGACCACACGAGCGUGUUGAAGCUACCUGGCAAAAGGACCCCUACCACCAGGCAUCUCUUUGCUCUUGCUUGGCCACUGGUUGAUGUCAAGCAGAGAAGGGGGCCCUAAGGUCCUUCCUACCAGGACCUCGGCUUCUAAGCUGCAGGGGUGCUGGAUGUGGGGCAAUCCAAGCUCUGGCUGCCUUGUAAUGUGGUGCCUGUGGGAUAUAAGCUAUCAACACCCUGCAGCCCACAGUUUCCCUCCUCCGGGACAAUGUAAUGUAAGCCUGAUUUCUCUUGGUUUUGCUAUCCCUGUUAUUAUUCUUAUGCCAGGUGAGCUCAGAGGCUCUGCCACCGACCAUGCACUAGAAAUGGUCACUGUUCCUAGUCAGGGUCUAACGCUGCCAUUGAGGGCAGGUCACUUAAACAUCAGUGGGUGUGUGGGGGGUACAACGUACGUGUGUAUGCUCUAGCUCACAGAGUUUAAUAAUCCUGUAGAAAGGAAGCUGUUACAGGAUGCUUAUCAUUUUUACCUACUAACUCAUUUUCAAGCAAAACUGGAAGAUUUAUGCCCAUGAGAUAGCCUGCAAAGUUCAAGUGAAGGGGAGUGGAAAGAGCAACCCUCAAACUUUUCAUAAUUCAUGCAGAAAAGACCUGAAAAAAUCCUCUGGUGAGGGAUGAUGAAAGAGCCUCAUGGUUUUGAAGAGUUUUUUUUUUUCCUAGGGUUAAAGUCUGCCUGCUGCAGAGUUAGACUUUCUCCUGCUCGGAAACCAUGUAAAAGUUAAACAGUUCAAGAGUAUUUGCUGCUGUAAAUUGUUAUCCAGAAUCCUGGUGCUCUUGGCUGUCUAUGUUUUAUCUCUUAUUCAUGUCUUUUCCUUCAAUAUUUAAGGUCAUUUUCUGUUUUAUGGCAUGACAUAAACUGAUAACAAAACCCUACAGCCUCAAUAGUUACUUUAACCACUUAUUUUCCUUUAAACAUUUUGUCUUGCCAAAUUAUUGAGUCAGCUGUAAUGACCUUGAUGUAAACAUGUACUUUUGAACUUAUAUGAGGAUCAAAGGCAAAGCAAUGUUAAAUGGAGGCUGGAAUCUGGAAAUGACCCAUGCAAAGUUGGCAUCUGUCUUCCCUCUCCUUUCAUUAAUUUUUGCGGAGUGGAGCCCAGAAUAAAUUUGCUUAUUUCAAAAGUGAAGAAAA